GCACCUACCGAUUGAAUGGUUCGGUGAAAAUCUCGGACUGCGGCUUGGAUGCCUUCGGGCAACCAAGCUGUGGAAAGUUGUUUAAACCUCAUCAUUUAGAGGAAGGUGAAGUCGUAACAGGGUUUCCGUAGGUGAACCUGCAGAAGGAUCAUCCUUCUGCAGGUUCACCUACGGAAACCUUGUUACGACUUUUACUUCCUCUAAAUGAUCAAGUUUGAACAACUUUUCGGCAGUCCGCUGCUCCGUUGCCGGGGCGGCGGCGCCAAUCAGGAGUCCUCACUAAACCAUUCAAUCGGUAGUAGCGACGGGCGGUGUGUACCGUUCGG
rnacentral:misc_RNA from 1 species